rnacentral:tRNA from 1 species
GGCCCGUUAGCUCAGUUGGUUAGAGCGUCGUGCUAAUAACGCGAAGGUCGGGGUUAUCCCCUACGGGCCA